rnacentral:tRNA from 13 species
AAUGAUGAGCCUGAUUAAAGGACUAUCGUGAUAGGAUAAAACAUGUAGCACAAACUACCUUCAUUA